GAACGACCUAGAUCCAUUCCCGCGCGCACGGACGGUCCAGAUUGCAUCGCGAUGGACGGCCCAUAUUUAAUCCCAAUUAAAUUGCGAUCGGACGGUCCAGAUUUAAUCUUGAUGGACGGUUGAGAUUAAAAGGCAAAGGGUAUAAAUAACCCCACCCACACCUAACCACAAAACCCUAGCCACCAGUGCCUCGCCGAAGAAGAAGAACUAGACGCCGGAGGAGCCGGCCGCCGCCACCCGCUGCUGCAUCGGAGAGGUUUCCGACCGCCAAUAGAGGUAAAUUUUCUCUUACUGGCUCGUUUUUCGAUGCUGAAUCCGCCUAUGGCCAAACCGGAGCCAAACCACCGGCCAAACAGCUGGAAAACCCAGCCGAAGUCCGGCGCCGCCGUCGCGACCCCCCUUUGUUUUUGCCUUCGAUAAAGCUCUUCCCGGCCUCCGUUCGAUGCAAAUUUUAUACCACCAUGAUUACUGUUCUUUUUUCUACAGGUUGAUCAGAGCCAAACAUCAAAACACGACUCACACCGGAGGAGCCGCCGCACCCGAAUGCAUUGCCGCCGAU
rnacentral:lncRNA from 1 species